CCGAGGCGGUGGGAGGAGUCCCCAGAAGAAAAAUCGUCCUCCUUCUCCAAUUAAAACUCCAUCUCGGCAUCGCUGCGGACCGUGGGAAGGUCUGAAGGAAAACACGGUGGCCCCGAUAUUCUUCUAACUGAAAAGUGCUACACAGUCUCUUCUAGACGAGAUGUCUGACUAGAAAGGACAGGUGCAAAACCAGAGCAGCAAAUCAGAGUGUGAAACUCAGUGAUGCUACUGCUGUCUCCAGCUGUCCUCCUCUCAGGCUCCCCCACAGGCAGCUAGCUUGGAUAAUGGACUCGAGGGAACACAUGUAUUGCUGUCAGCUUCUCUCCACACCCACUCUGUGAGAUGACUACAGGAUCAUUUUAAUCAAGAAUGAAGACUACAUAAUUCAAGCAACAGGGUCAAAAGUCUGAUGUCUGCAGGGAAGGUGCAUUGGUUUAACUUCAGUCAGAUUUUAAAUCUUGGCUUUAAGGCUUGGCUAAAUAAUUAGGUCAAACCAGUGCAACGUUCCGUGUAACUAAGGCCUUAAAAAAGGAUUUUAAAGAUAAAUAUCUCAGUUAAUUACUUAAGCUACAGUCUGAAACCUAUUGAAGUCAAUGAGACAGGAGAGCAAGCAGCCAACAAGAUACACUCUGAAGUGUCUUUCUGAAUCAGUAGCUUCAUUCUGCUCUAAGGAACAAACCUCCAUUUCAGCGAAAGUCAUCUUAGGAUCAUGGUGCUUUCUUAGAUCUCUGUCAGCCACAAAGCCUACAAGAGAGAGGACAGUGCUAAGGCCUCGCUGCAGGAGAGUGUUGCAGGAAGCUGGAGAGAGCAGAUUCUCAGCUAUACAUUCCAUUACAAAGGGAGGUUCUUCAGAGCAAGAGGUUCCAUUACAUGUCUACAUGUUGAGGAGAAGACCCUGGCCAGUGGCCGGCCACCCAUUCAGCCACUCCCUCACUCCCCUUCCUCAUGGGGGCAUGCAGGGGCAGAAAAAUGAUGAAAAAGCUUGUGGACAGAGAUAAAGACAGGGAAAUUACUUACUAGUUACUGUCAAGCAAUUACUUACCAAUUUGUCACUUGGAGAAAAUUAAUUUUUUGCCAAUUGAAAGAGCUUUGGUUUUUUUGAGAAACAAAAUCAAAAACUGAAGGCACGUCUUACCCCCACAUCCUUUCCCACUUCAUUCCUGAUUCCUCUUUCAGUGAAUGGGAGGUGUGACGGGUCCACAACAGUUCCUCUCCACCUCUCCUUUCUCCUCACACUGUUCUCUUGCUCCACCAUGGGCCUCUUCAAUGGGCUGCAGAUUCAUGCUCUGUCUUGGAGGACCUCAUUACUCUCCUCUUUCUCUGAACUUGGCCUUCACCCCAUUACUUCAUCCUUUUUUUCCCCUUCCUCUGCCUGCCUAGUGCUUUUGCCCAUUCUUUAAUACAUCUUCCCUGAGACACCAGCAAAAAGCCACGUGGGCUCCUGGAGCUUGGCAGCGUCUGCUAGGAUGGCCACUGGUCCAUCACUGGUCAACAAUGAGUGUUGCGCCAUCACUUGUUGUAUGCUUCUGGUUCUAAUGCAAGGGAGCAGAUUAUAUAUAACAUCACUAUUUCCAACCUCAGAUAUUCAGCAAAUGUAUUUUUUUCCCCAAAUACUUUUCAAUGGCAAAUAUAGAUACCUUUUCAUUUGUAUUUUGACCUCCAAGCCUUGAAUCUUUCUCCAAACACAUAGUCAAGAAACUCAUUUUUCAAAAGUCCUAAGAGUUGAGUUUCUUAUGAGAGUCUGGUCCACUUCAAGGAGAGAAACCUCAGUUUAUGAAAAAUAAUAUUACAACUGUUGUGCUGGCUGAUGUCCUCUACUUUUACAAGAGAACAAUAGAAAAUCAAUUACACUGACAAACCCCCCUUGUGGGGUGAAACUGUGUAGGCUUUCCCAACAGACAUAACAGAUGUUUCUUGAAGAGUGAUUUCUGAAGGUAAGGAAAUAAGGCAUCUUUUCAUGAAUAUUAUAUCUUCAUUUCUGCAGCUACAUAUUGUAAUCCUUCUGCAUUUCCAAGAGUGGUAGGCUUUAUCACAGAGACAAUUGCUUUGUGUUGGACUAAAACCACAGCUUUUUUGCUUAUGGACUACCAAGCAAUGUGUAGAUGGUGACACUCACCAAAAAUCUCAGCAAACUGACAUUGCAUCAGGUGAAAAACAUUUGUCCUGCUCCUUUCCCCCACCAUGCCACCCUUCUCUGUCUCAUAUUGUACAUCAAGAAAAAGAUACAGUAUUUGGUAUUUAAAACUUACUUUUGUAGAAGGUUGUAGCAGCACACAUUUUUAGAGAAGUAUUCUGCCAGGUCAGGGGAGGAUUUAUUUUCUGAAUGCCUAAUACAUAUUUAAAAGCUGAUAAUAGUACAUGACAGCACCAAAAAUGUUAUAUAACUUCUAGAAUGUCUAUUAAAAAAGUAGAGCCUUGCCAUUAAAAAAAAAAGUAGAAGCCUGUGAGAUUCCCACCAUCUGGAUGGAGUCUUUUUUCUUCCCAGAUGAAUUAGUUGUCAAGGGAGGAAUUAUUUUAGGCAUCAAGUAACCCCUGAUUGUGAGUGACAGACUAACACAAGAGCAGAUGCAAGGUUACUGCUGCCUAUCCAUUAUGUGGAAAGGAGACCCAUGCAUGUCCUACUUACUGUGCAUACUGACUUGGGUUAUUAAAAGAGUAACUAGAGGUGGGUCAGACCCAGAAGAUAGCUCAUACGACUCACAACAGAUGUUCUUUCACAGGAGAGAAAACAAACACUGGAUACUUUCUGGGGAUACUGUAGAAGGAGGGGACUUCACUACUUUCAACAAGUCACAAGUACAGAUUCCCAACAGAGGCACAAACCAACUUUUUCAUUCAAAUAACAGUUAUUUGAGACCGUGAUGAAACACGAGAGGACUGUGGACCGUGCCAGUGAGAAUAAAGAAAUAAAAAACAGUGCCAUCUUGUGGCCUACAGUACUCUGAAUGCUCCCAAGAGGAAAGAGGAAAAUCUUUUGCACUAAGAAAAAAGUACCGGUAACUUCUGGCCAAACGAUAAGUAACCUUAUUUCAGUUCAGAAUCCUGUCUUGAAUAUGCAGACUUUGGUUUUAUCAUAUGACUGAAACAAAUACCUCUUCCUUUUAUAAUUGCACGUGUUAUAAAAGAGUGGCAUAUUGUUUUUAUUGGACUAAUUCUCGCUCCACUACUACUGAAGAGAUUUGAGAGCUCAUAUAUUCAUCAUCCGUCGAAGUAAUCUCCAUGGUAUCUUAGAUUCAGACAAA
ensembl:lncRNA